GGUGGGUUGGCUCAGUGGUUAGAGCGUAAGUCUCGUUACCGAAAGGUUGCGGGAUUGAAUCCCGCUAGAGGCUG
rnacentral:tRNA from 1 species